CCUACGGGAGGCAGCAGUAGGGAAUCUUCCGCAAUGGACGAAAGUCUGACGGAGCAACGCCGCGUGAACGAUGAAGGCCUUCGGGUCGUAAAGUUCUGUUGUUAGGGAAGAACAAGUGCUAGUUAAAUAAGCUGGCACCUUGACGGUACCUAACCAGAAAGCCACGGCUAACUACGUGCCAGCAGCCGCGGUAAUACGUAGGUGGCAAGCGUUGUCCGGAAUUAUUGGGCGUAAAGCGCGCGCAGGCGGUUUCUUAAGUCUGAUGUGAAAGCCCCCGGCUCAACCGGGGAGGGUCAUUGGAAACUGGGAAACUUGAGUGCAGAAGAGGAAAGUGGAAUUCCAAGUGUAGCGGUGAAAUGCGUAGAGAUUUGGAGGAACACCAGUGGCGAAGGCGACUUUCUGGUCUGUAACUGACGCUGAGGCGCGAAAGCGUGGGGAGCAAACAGGAUUAGAUACCCUGGUAGUCCACGCUGUAAACGAUGAGUGNUAGUAGUUAGUAGGUUACCGGUCCGUUACGUAGUCUGUAGUUAACGUACAUAAGUACACUCCGCCGUCGGGUAGGUACGGUACGGCGACGACGUAGAACGUAACGUAAACGGUAAAGUUAGUUACGGUCGUUGAGACGUUGCCGACGGACGACGACGAGGGAGGAGG
rnacentral:rRNA from 1 species